UGAAGCCUUGGUAGACUGUUCCUUCCUUUGUUGACUCUAAGAAACGUGAAAGUGUUAUGUUUGCUGUCUCCUUGGAGUGAUGUCAAGAUAUGAGUGGUAGAGGAUCAGAGUGAAGGAGCAGGAAGGAGAAACCCUGAGGCCUUGCCGAGGGAUGUUACUGUUUUCUCACAAAGAAUCUGAAAUAAGCAAAGCUUCCUAUGCACCAACAAGACACUGGAAGUCAGUGAGAUGGCUGCCAACAUCAUAAGAUGGGCACAUGGGGGUGAUCUAGGGUAUGGAAGCCUGACAAAGCUGAUGAAAGCUGGUUCUCCCUUGAAGAAUGCAUUUUGGAUGAAAGAAAAAAAAAUGACCAUUAAUAGGCUUCAGUCCUCUUUUUUUUUCUUGUUUCAGAACAUUCUGAAUCAUAUCUACUGUGCGAGGAAAGCUGCCUGUGGCACUGAUCUAAAUGAUAAAUGGAGAGAAGUCAAAAGAGACAAGGAAAGGAAUAUGCAGAAGCAAGAGGAUGUUUGGGAAAAGACUGUAAGUCAUGAAUUUGAAGAACACUAGUUCUUAGCUGGAGAGCUAGAAGUACAAGAUGUGAAUGUGGAGCUCCCUGGCCUGGCCCUAAUGAAGCUUGCUGUCUAAAGAAAAUAUAGUUGACCUUUGAAUAAUAUGGGAUUGAGCGGUAUGGGGCCACUUACAUGUGGAUUUUUUUUGCAAUAAAAACAAUACCAUAAAUGAUUUUUUGUUCUGU
rnacentral:lncRNA from 12 species